rnacentral:misc_RNA from 1 species
UUAUUAUUUUUUUACAUCAACAUUAAUGAUCCAUGAGACUGGAGAGUGCUGCACACCUUAAGGAUUGUUCUCUAAAUAUACAUUACCUUCUUUGAUGCACACGUAAAGACCCACCACACUUUCUAUCUUAAAUCUUUCUAUGAACCCUAUAGGACAAACCCCUCAAGUUAACACACUAAAUAUAAUAACUGGAAUUUACAAUAUCGUGAAAAAAAUGGCAAAAUCAAAUGGAUGGAUCUAGUUCUUAUAUAGUGAAGAAUUGCAAAGUUACUUCAAGCUUUUUGCCUUUUAUAAUACAUUGACUCCAUUAACGCUCCCAUGAAGAAAUAUCCUUCUCCAAUCUCAACUGGCUCAUUCCAACAUCAAUGGUUUCUUCCAGAACUUCCUCAUUUUCAAUCUCUGCAUCUGUGUAUGUGAGUGCCCUCUGUAGCUUCCUAGGACAGAACACCUCAGCCUCAGCCAUAUAAGUGGCUGUAACAGGUCGAUGAUCAGAAAGUUUGAGCUCUUUUCUCCUGUACUUGAGUAGCCUCAUUCCCUUUCCAUAAGAAAGGAUGCGAUCACACCAUGCUGGAACACGCCUCCCAGCUUUAGGAUCCUCUCCAUAAUAAUUGUCUGAAUUUAUUUCAUACUUAUAUGUUGGUGGAAAAUUUAAUGUACCCUCAUUCCAUCCAUCAAAUGCACGACCCUUUCUUAGUUCUCGUACAAGCUGAUCCCUCUCCUCUAACUUGGACCACUCCUUUCGGGAGAUUAGUUCUCGUGUUUUCUCAUAUGACAAGUUGAUCCGAUAGUUCAAAUCACCCAGCAAAAUAAUUCUUUCAUGAUCAAGGAUGCGUUUUGGAAGACCAAUACCAGAAUUGGCAUGGAAUAGAGUUCUCCUAUGUAUUUCAUGCACAUCAGCAUUUCUUUUGAGUUCAUCUCCAUCUUUUUCACCUGAUGUCAGGUGAGUGCAUAUAAAACAGAAAAGAGUCUGAUAUAUAGACAUACUGACUGAUAUCGAUCCCUUGUUACCAAUGUAGCCCAUGACCCCAACGCCAACGGUCGACACUUUCAAGUUCUGAAUGUACUUUCGCAAGCUCCUACGAACCCAAAUUGUGAGGAAAAUUCCAACCAUCUGCUUACUUACUAUCCUUACAUAUGAUGAUCUUCUUUUGCGUUUCAUGAGAGCUUCAAGGUCAAGUUCUGAAAGAAACGCUAUGUCCGAUUGCAUUUCAUUUGUGAGUAACUUGAAAGAAUUAUAUGCUCCAAAAGACUUGCUUGCUUUAAAAGAUUUAACUGCUUUAAAGGAAUUUGGUCUCUGUAAAACAUGCUGAGAUAACAAGUCUAAUGGGGGCUCUGGCCAGCUCAAACCAAUCCUUUCAGUGCCACUAAGCAUUUUGGUUAACUUGCGGUUGUUUUGACCUGCCGCUACUUCUACAUCUCCAGCAGAAUCUUCUGUCCGCAAACAAUUUAGCCUACUUAAUUUCUUUGGAGAAGAAAAUUGCCUCUGUAAAUUCUCUUCUACUGGGACACCUAAUUUACCACUAUUAUCCGAUGCUAAUCCAGAAUUAACAUCCAUGUCACCCAUGUCCGGACUAUCUUCAUCUUCAUCCAAUGGAUGAAUUUCCUCACCAAUAUCACUAUCACUUUCGAGUAAUAUCUCUUCUAUAUCUGGCACAUCAUCAGAUGGCUUAAAUUUUGAUGGAGAUGGGGGAUCAG